AGUGAACGCUGGCGGUAGGCCUAACACAUGCAAGUCGAACGGCAGCACAGUAAGAGCUUGCUCUUACGGGUGGCGAGUGGCGGACGGGUGAGGAAUACAUCGGAAUCUACUUUUUCGUGGGGGAUAACGUAGGGAAACUUACGCUAAUACCGCAUACGACCUACGGGUGGAAGCAUGGGAUCUUCGGACCUUUCGCGAUUGAAUGAGCCGAUGUCGGAUUAGCUAGUUGGCGGGGUAAAGGCCCACCAAGGCGACGAUCCGUAGCUGGUCUGAGAGGAUGAUCAGCCACACUGGAACUGAGACACGGUCCAGACUCCUACGGGAGGCAGCAGUGGGGAAUAUUGGACAAUGGGCGCAAGCCUGAUCCAGCCAUACCGCGUGGGUGAAGAAGGCCUUCGGGUUGUAAAGCCCUUUUGUUGGGAAAGAAAAGCAGCAGGUUAAUACCCCGCUGUUCUGACGGUACCCAAAGAAUAAGCACCGGCUAACUUCGUG
rnacentral:rRNA from 1 species